rnacentral:rRNA from 1 species
CUCCCAAACCCAAUGUGAACCAUACCAAACUGUUGCCUCGGCGGGGUCACGCCCCGGGUGCGUCGCAGCCCCGGAACCAGGCGCCCGCCGGAGGGACCAACCAAACUCUUUCUGUAGUCCCCUCGCGGACGUUAUUUCUUACAGCUCUGAGCAAAAAUUCAAAAUGAAUCAAAACUUUCAACAACGGAUCUCUUGGUUCUGGCAUCGAUGAAGAACGCAGCGAAAUGCGAUAAGUAAUGUGAAUUGCAGAAUUCAGUGAAUCAUCGAAUCUUUGAACGCACAUUGCGCCCGCCAGUAUUCUGGCGGGCAUGCCUGUCCGAGCGUCAUUUCAACCCUCGAACCCCUCCGGGGGGUCGGCGUUGGGGACUUCGGGAACCCCUAAGACGGGAUCCCGGCCCCGAAAUACAGUGGCGGUCUCGCCGCAGCCUCUCCUGCGCAGUAGUUUGCACAACUCGCACCGGGAGCGCGGCGCGUCCACGUCCGUAAAACACCCAACUUCUGAAAUGUUGACCUCGGAUCAGGUAGGAAUACCCGCUGAACUUAAGCAUAUCAAUAAGCGGAGGAA